CUACGUGCCAGCAGCCGCGGUAAUACGGAAGGUCCGGGCGUUAUCCGGAUUUAUUGGGUUUAAAGGGAGCGUAGGCCGGAGAUUAAGUGUGUUGUGAAAUGUAGACGCUCAACGUCUGACUUGCAGCGCAUACUGGUUUCCUUGAGUACGCACAACGUUGGCGGAAUUCGUCGUGUAGCGGUGAAAUGCUUAGAUAUCCUGAAGAACUCCGAUCGCGAAGGCAGCCAUCCGGAGCGUAACUGACGCUGAGGCUCGAAGGUGCGGGUAUCAAACAGGAUUAGAUACCCUGGUAGUCCACACAGUAAACGAUGUAUACUCGCGGUUUGCGAUAGACAGUAAGCCGCCAAGCGAAAGCAUUAAGUAUACCACCUGGGGAGUACGCCGGCAACGGUGAAACUCAAAGGAAUUGACGGGGGCCCGCACAAGCGGAGGAACAUGUGGUUUAAUUCGAUGAUACGCGAGGAACCUUACCCGGGCUUGAACUAACGGUGACGAAUCUAGAGAUAG
rnacentral:rRNA from 1 species